CAUUUUGUUGGUUUCUUGUUGCCGGACGUGCUGGCGGCCAUUUUAGAUCACCUUACUCGGCGGUUUUGUUUGUUCCGUGGAGGCUGCAUGCUCCCUUCUCCUGUCAUCCACACAGGACCCGGGUAUUCUCUCUACUACUCUGUUCUGUGCUUGGAUUAAGCAAUCCAGCACCUUUUUUUUCUCACUUGCUCUAUACUUUUAUCUAGCCUUUUUCUCUGCCAUCAUGCAGUCUGCCAGUGGUGAUUUAGCUGACCACCCUAUUCCCCAUAGGGGCACCACAGGCUCUGAUUCCCAGGCUGACCCUAGCCUCAUAGGCUCUGAGGAGUUCCAAAGCCUCCUGGACGCCACUAUGUCCAACUCCAUUAGCAAGGCCAUCU